rfam:Drosophila willistoni strain TSC#14030-0811.24 scf2_1100000004514 genomic scaffold, whole genome shotgun sequence.
AUGUUUGUGAUGAGCUAUAAGCUUUCGCCCCUAUCUGAAAAUUGAAACUUCUCUUGUUGAAUGCGUGAUUGGUCUUACUGAUUCAAUAAA